rnacentral:snoRNA from 1 species
AGCUUGUCAAUGAUGUUUCUCUAAAAAAAAUAUGUCUGAACAUAUGAAUUUUAUAGUGAUUUCAACCUGUAACUGAGAUAAGCU